AGUGAACGCUGGCGGUAGGCCUAACACAUGCAAGUCGAACGGCAGCACAGUAAGAGCUUGCUCUUACGGGUGGCGAGUGGCGGACGGGUGAGGAAUACAUCGUAAUCUACUUUUUCGUGGGGGAUAACGUAGGGAAACUUACGCUAAUACCGCAUACGACCUACGGGUGAAAGCAGGGGAUCUUCGGACCUUGCGCGAGUGAAUGAGCCGAUGUCGGAUUAGCUAGUUGGCGGGGUAAAGGCCCACCAAGGCGACGAUCCGUAGCUGGUCUGAGAGGCUGAUCAUCCACACUGGCACUUAGACACGCUCCAGACUCCUACGGGAGGCAACAGUGGGGAAUUUUCGACAGUGCGCGCAAGCCUAAUCCAGCCAUACCGCGUAGGUUAGGAAGACCUUCGGGUUUUAAAGCCCUUUUGUUGGGAAGAAAAAACUGCAGAUUAAUCCCCCGCUAUUCUGACGGUACCCAAAGAAUAAGCCCCGGCUAACUUCGUG
rnacentral:rRNA from 1 species